ACGUCUUGAAUUGACUGACUGAACCUUCGGAAAAGCACACGAAUUAAAUCGAGAGAUAUUUAUCGAAUAAAUAGAAAUCCAAUGAAAUAAUCAGGAAUCAAUCCACGAAAAAUAAAUCUGCAAUCGAAAAACUUUAAUCCUUUCAAAAAUCCACAGUAAUUGAGCAGACACGAAUUAGGGUUUUAGGGACAGUAUUUUUCGGACAAGUGACGUUUUACAUGGAAAAAAGAAAAUAAAAUUCAAGAUGUUUGAGCCCCCUUAUUAGCUCGUUGAAAUGAAACAUAUUAACAUUAUCUCAUAUUUAUU
rnacentral:lncRNA from 1 species